UGGGACCGCGGAGGGGAGCGGGGCUGUGAGGGAACCCGCCGCCGUCAGCGGCAGGCCGAGGCGGCCGGGCGGCCCCCUCGUGGCGGGCAGUCGCGGCCUGCUGCCGCCCGAGGGGUGCCACUGAGGCGCCGAGGUGGGCUGAGGGGAGGCCCGAGGGAGAGCGGGAGUGUUGGGAGCGGGCGGGCGUGCAGACUCCCGCCUUUGGGCUUUUGUUGUUAAUCCUUCAUCUUUACUGACCCGGUCUCUCAGCUCUCAGGUUUUGGGAAUUUUGUUUGCAUCCUCUGUGGGUUUCAGCGUUAUUUUUAUAAUGUGGAUACCAGAGCUUUAUGCAGUUUCAAUAUUCACUCCAUUAGUGCUACACACAAAGUCACAGCAUCACAUUGAAUACUUACGGUGAGGUGCUUUGCUGCUAGAGUUUCUUCAGAUGAAAAUGAUCCAGAAGAUCCUUUGUAAGUGACAUGCUGCAAAUGAAGAGCUGGACACACUUGAUUGGAGGAAACAAGACUGCAACUUUAUUUAGCAACAAUAACUGUGCAAGAGGAGCAGGCAGACGAUUCUUGCCAAGUUCUCUUCUUGCUGUUCCUCCGUGUGACCUACAAGCCAGUGAGCAUCCACUGUGGUUUGAAAGGAGCCACUGAACGUUGUAAGACCAAACCAUCUCUUCAGAGAUUGCAUUCUUUUUGUGUCAUUAUAAUGGCACAAAAUGACAGAAAUUGUGUAAAAAUUGCAUGCUGGAGCUUGAUCAACCAAAUCAGACGUGCAAUGAUGCCAACGAAGGGAAAAGGCAAAACAAACAAACAAACUGGAGUCCAUUGACUCUAUUGCUGCCGAUUUCAAUAUUGGUUUACUCGCAGCAGAGCCAUUUUCAACUUGCAGCGUUUUAAUGAAUUCAAAACAAAGGGAAUCCAAACAAAUAAAGAAUUGAGGGGUGCACGUAGUACACCUUAUUUACUGCUUUUAUUGAAAAGAGACGUUAAGGCUGACCUGAAGGCAUAGUUCUGUGCAAUGCCAGAUCUUUUGUAGGUCCAAUACCACGCCUGAUUGUUUAUCCCUGACAUUUGUAAGGGGUGAGAGCGCUGUGUGGGCAGCAUGCUGAGCUGUUAAAAGUGUGUGCGGAGCACCCCAUGUCAAUCACCAACAACGUUCCAGCUGUUUGAGGACCACACUGACCAAAUCCCACGGGAGCUCUGCCUCAUCUUCCCCUCUAAUAAAGGAGAAGGACAGAUCUCUGGAGUGCUAUGAUGAGAAUGAAAAAAAGUAACUGGGAAAUCCUCCAGAAUCGAGAGAAAAUGUGGAUCACUGCAUGUUGAGUGGGAGAGAGCAACAAACGCUACAGUCAUUUUGGAUGUGGAUGCAGUUUUGUUGAAAGGCUCCAUGACAGUCGCCGUGUGAAUUAGCGAGCCCAAGUCUGAGUUCUGACUCUUGCUUUGUUUUCCAGCUCAGUAAUUAGCAACACUUAACGUGCUCAGGUCUGUUGUAGUUGAGAACUGAUGACUAUUAAGGCAGCCCCUCUGAUACUGGGCAGCUUGAUAGCUAUUGGUGGGAGCCCCAACUUCCCAUGGAAACUGGACAACAAAAGGAAAACAUGAAGUAAUUUAUGUAAGCUGAAACAACAUUACAGAAUAAAAGAUAAAGAGAACCUUAUACCUCAAGUAUCCUUUCCACCUGUUGAUCCAGAGAGGAAAAAGAAUAUGGGAUCUAGAUUGUGAGGCUGAGAUAGGAAAAUAAUGGCGGUAUGGUAUUGAAAAACAUAGUUUUCUCUCAUGCUUAUACAUUAAGUUCUGUCUAAUGCAAAAUUUGGCAGCUAAUAGUAUGGGCCUUUGAAGGACUGAUCCUUGCUCUCUUUUCAGUACAGAAAAACUGGAGUUGGUACAUGGGAAUAAUGCAUAAUAAAGUAUUGAUCAAAAAAUAUAUUAAUAAAGAAACCCAGGUGGACUACUGCAAGAAGUGGUCAGACAUAUAACACAGAUGAUCAUACACAUCUACUUGAAUUUCUUUUUUGUUGUACAGCAUGCCUUCUUAGAAGAAAAAAGUACACUUGUGGUUUUUUUUAAAAUUAGAUAUUUUAUUAUAAUGUUUGGUAGUCAUUCCAGUGGAUUGUUUCCUUUGCUCUGGAGGUUUAUUCUGGUGUUAGAACUGGAGUUUAUUCUGAUUACUAAUGUCUGCUUUUGUGUCUGCAUGUUAGAUCAUCUAUGCCUUUAUCUGUUACACUGCAGAUUUUUACUUAUCAACGUUCAUUUUCGCUGUAGCUGUAUACAGAGUAAAUCCAGAGGUUCAUCUCACCUAACACUAACCUAAUAUCAUUAUCUGAAAGUUAGGUGGUAGUCUAAGAUAGUUGUUUGGAGUCCCCAUUUAGGCAGAGGAGAGAGAGAAGCACCUCUUAGAGGUGGUCCAUCUGGUCCGGCUAUGUGACUAGGUUAGACUGGAUGGCUGAUGUUGGCUGGAAUGCUUUCUACUUUGAAGUGUCGCAUUUACUUCUAUAAGCAAAAUACUUCUGGUGGUCUUUUAGUCUUUUACUAAGUAAUUUUUCAAACCUUUUAUCAUUAUGAAGAAUCUUCUUCAUCUUUUUCUCUUUGUUUCCAUUAUUCCUGGUUUGUGAACACCAUAACACAGUAUUGAGGUAGUGACCAGGCUAAUGCCAUCAGAAGGCACAGAGUCUUAUAGAUCCUCUAAUUUUUUUGUCCCUAAUAUUUCUGUGCUGUAUUCUUUCCUUCUAUAUGCAAAGAUUAUGUUAGCCUUAGCAGAAUAAGUGCUUCCUCUCACUGUGAUUUCUAUCACCGUGAUUGCUGUUUCCAUAUGCUCCAAAUAAAAGCAAAGCAAAGGAAGCUCAUUUGAAAUGCACAACUUUUCAGUAAACUACAUCAAAGGUUGUAAAAAUCAUUCUGUUUUCAUUCCGGGCAGAAUCCUAUUUUGUGCUUAACAUUUUCCUCCUGCCUUUCUGUAAAUGCUCUGUUUGUGAAAUAAAGCCAAGGGUAUUAAUAUCUAAAAUUAGGCUAGAGUUACAUUUGGAUUUGCUUCUAAAUACACAUAUGCUAAUAUGUAU